rnacentral:rRNA from 1 species
CCUUUGAUGACGACUGGCGCACGGGUGAGUAACGCGUAUCCAACCUUCCCAUAACUACGGGAUAACCCGUUGAAAGACGGCCUAAUACCGUAUGAUAUCGUUUGCUGACAUCAAAUAACGAUUAAAGGUUUAGCGGUUAUGGAUGGGGAUGCGUCUGAUUAGCUUGUUGGCGGGGUAACGGCCCACCAAGGCUACGAUCAGUAGGGGUUCUGAGAGGAAGGUCCCCCACAUUGGAACUGAGACACGGUCCAA